CUUGCUGUCCACUUUAUCUUUUCAUCUUGACCUCUGGAGUUGGCCAGAGGACACGUAGGUAGCCAGGUUCCGUUUAGCAGAGAUUCAGACUUCUGUGAAAUUACAUCCUAGUGGAUUUGUUUCAAUCCUAAAUUUUUCUGUAUUUCUCUGAUUUUGUUCCACAUAGAAUUUGAAGCAGGCAUGUGUGCUUGGACAGCAUAUUUUUCCCUCUUAAAUGGCAGGGCUCCAUUCCUGCUGGGCUGAGAAGGCUUGCUGGUGGUGGGCUGUUAAAGCAGAUGAAGGAGCACCAGUAAGGAAGCAGCACCAAGGGCACUUAAGAAACCUCGGCUGUUUCCACUUCUUGAAUCACAGGUUUCCGCUGUAAAUUACUUCACUGUUCAUAAAUCUUUGCGUAGUUAUACCAUUCCGGUUUUGGUUGAAAACUUGCUCUGAGAUAAUUAGCCUAUGCUUAUUUAACCUCCCUCAGUCCCGCCAUUCCUUAGACUCCAU
rnacentral:lncRNA from 1 species